rnacentral:rRNA from 1 species
UACAGAGGAGCCAAGCGUUGUCCGGAUUGACUGGGCGUAAAGCGCACGCAGGCGGAUGCGCGCGUGGGGUGUGAAAUCUGGCCGCUUAACGGCCAGGCGCCAUCCCAUACGGCGCGUCUGGAGCCUUGCAGAGGUCGGUGGAAUUGCCGGUGUAGUGGUGAAAUUCGUAGAUAUUAGGAAGAACACCAGUGGCGAAGGCGGCUCACUGGCCCGGUACUGACGCUGAGGCGCGAAAGCGUGGGGAGCAAACAGG